AUUGUUUCUUCGGAAAUGAGAGAGCGGCGUACGGGUGCGGAACACGUGUGCAACUGCCUUUAUCUGGGGAUAGCCUUUCGAAAGGAAGAUUAAUACUCCAUAAUAUAUUGAACGGCAUCGUUUAAUAUUGAAAGCUCCGGCGGAUAGAGAUGGGCACGCGCAAGAUUAGCUAGUUGGUGAGGUAACGGCUCACCAAGGCGAUGAUCUUUAGGGGCCUGAGAGGGUGAUCCCCCACACUGGUACUGAGACACGGACCAGACUCCUACGGGAGGCAGCAGUGAGGAAUAUUGGUCAAUGGGUGCAAGCCUGAACCAGCCAUCCCGCGUGAAGGACGACUGCCCUAUGGGUUGUAAACUUCUUUUGUAUAGGGAUAAACCUACCCUCGUGAGGGUAGCUGAAGGUACUAUACGAAUAAGCACCGGCUAACUCCGUG
rnacentral:rRNA from 1 species